rnacentral:tRNA from 1 species
GGGCAGGUACCAGAGCGGUCAAAUGGAGCAGACUGUAAAUCUGCCGGCUUCGCCUUCGGAGGUUCGAAUCCUUCCCUGCCCAC